rnacentral:rRNA from 1 species
UACGGAGGGGACUAGCGUUGUUCGGAAUUACUGGGCGUAAAGCGCACGUAGGCGGACCAGAAAGUUGGGGGUGAAAUCCCGGGGCUCAACCUCGGAACUGCCUUCAAAACUAUUGGUCUGGAGUUCGAGAGAGGUGAGUGGAAUUCCGAAUGUAGAGGUGAAAUUCGUAGAUAUUCGGAGGAACACCAGUGGCGAAGGCGGCUCACUGGCUCGAUACUGACGCUGAGGUGCGAAAGCGUGGGGAGCAAACAGG